GUGACGUCAGGCAUUCAGGUGAAUUGAAGACCGGUGUGCACGAGAGGAGUUAUCUAAUAGAGGUGAAGCAAGAUGGCGGGCGACCGCGCGGCAUUCUCUCAGGAUUUUCGCCCAAGGAGGACGCAGUCGCGUUUGAGGUUUGAGCACAGCACGUCACAAUUUCCUUUCUUUUGCUUCAUUCAGCACGGUGCUUGGGUUCUUUGGCCGCUAGUAUUUCCUAUAUUUUUUUCAUGCUAGCCAGCUCGUUGCAUUCUUGCAUUCUAAGUAAAAUGAAAGACACACGUGGUGGCUUUGUAUUAGUGGAUUGAGCUAUAAAAGUGGCGUUUUGUUUGAACGUUUGAUUAAUUAUCUGCUCUUACUGUGCAUGCAAAAUGUUUUUUCACUCCCUUAUAUGAAAAAGGCCUAUUGCAUUUCAGUGUUUCAUUUUGGCAAUUCAUGAUUGUCAAAUCCUUGACGCUUCAAAGCCCUUCCGCUCCAAAUAAAACCAGAUUAAAUGAAUGGAUAAAUAAAUGCAUAGAUUAAUACAUAAACCAUUAAAUGAAUACAUAAAUGAAUAAAUGCAUAGAUAAAUACAUAGAAACACCAAUAAAUAAAAAUCCCCAUAAUAGAUUCCUCCAUGCUGGUUGAUACAUGACCAACACAAACUUGCGAAGCUUUUGCGAGCACCCUGGUGUCCGGUCGAAAGGGACGCAUCAUUUUCGGACCCCGAAACGCUGCAUGUGUGUUUUGCAGGCUGGAAGCCAAAGGGGAUGUGGAAAAGGACCAGUUUUGAAGGCUGGAUGGAAGAGGAGCCAAAGGGGAUGUGGAAAUUGAACACUUUUGCAGACUGGCAUAGGAGCCAAAGGGGAUCUGGAAAGGGAACAGCAAGAAUCAAGCAUCAGGCAAAAGUCGACGUGUAGGGAUGGUGUGACCAGGAGGGGACAGUGUUGCGCUCUGGUUGCCUUUGGUUAUGGGUGCACGUCGGAAAGGUUGCCUUGAAAUCAGGGCAAAGAGUUUUUGGGGGUCUGAUGGUUGGACUUGGUUGUUCUUGCUUAAGGAGUGCGCUGUGGUUGAGGUUGUGGCUUGUCUGGAUCCAGAGCAGCUUUGUCUUGCGCAAGGAUUGCCAUUGAAAGCCGGACGGGGCAUUGUAACUUUUGGGGGGGAGACAGUCACGCCGAUGGACACAAACAAAACCUUGACGUGGAGCCGAAUGUCCAAUGUUGUGAUAUGACUUGUUGACUAUUGUAACAUUUUGUCUUUUUCUAACCUACCACUGUCGUACUUGCGUUUUUUGCUCUCCCCUCGGUCAGGGCGAUGUUGGAGCGAGCGGGUGGGUCCACAAGGUGCCGGAAACACAAACAAAACUUUGACGUGGAGCUGAAUGUCCAAUUUUAUGAUCCGACUUGUUGACUGUAACAUUUUGUCUUUUUCUAACCUACCACUGUCGUACAUGCGUUUUUUUGUUCUCCCCUCGGUGCAGGGCAGCGUUGGAGCGAGCCGGUUCAUGAGGUGCCGGAAAUAAUAACCAAAGUUUGACGUGAAGAAGGAUGUCUAAUUCUGCAAUCUGACUUGUAACAUUUUGUCUUUUUCUAACUUACCACUGUCGUACUUGUGUUCUUUGUUCUCCCCUUGGUGUAGGGCGACAUUGGAGCGAGCCGGUUCCGAAUGUCCAAUAUUGCAAUAUAACUUGUAAGCUUUUGUAUCAUUUUCUAACCUACCACUGCCAUACUUGCGUUUGUUCUCCCCUCGGUCUAGGGUGGCGUUGGAGCAAGCUGGUCCCAAAUGUCCAAUUUUGCAAUUUAACUUGUAACAUUUUGUCUUUUUCUAACCUACCACUGUUGUACAUGUGUUCUUUGUUUUCCCCUCGGUGUAGGGCGACAUUAGAGCAAGGCGGUCCCGAAUGUCCUAUUUUGCAAUGUAACUUGUAACAUUAGGUCUUUUUCUAACCUACCACUGUCGUAUUUGCGUCCUUUGUUCUCCCCUCGGUGUAAGGCAGCGUUGGAGUGAGCCGGUCCACGAGGAACCAUCGGUUGAGGGUGUUCAAGACCGAACGACGCGAGCAGCGCGCAACUCAUUGCAUGUUCUGCUUUUUGCAGGUUGGACGCAAAACGGAGACGCACGGCCCGACCCGCCGACGGUAACAAAGAGUAGCUAGCUGCUGUGAUCGAAUGGCGACCGGGACACGACUCAAUCUGAUCCGAGGUGGACCGGGUGGCAUCACUCUGCAGCCAGGUUCUGAGGGAGACCUGCUUCCCUGGAGACGUCGACCUGCGCAGCGGCAAUGCGUGAAAUGGAUUUUUUUUUUUUUUUUUUAAAUUCACAACAGUGGUGUCCGAACGUCUGUUUGAGGGCCUCGUACUGGAACAAAUUAAGAAUUCCUUGACAAAAAUUAAUUAAAGAUUCUAAUUCUAAUCAAUCACAACAUUUUUCUAUUAAGUGUUAAUAUCUUGUGCGUGUGCUACAAAACGGUGUUUAUUUUGAAUGUUAUUCAUGUGGUGUCUUGAUAAAUCAGACCGCAAAAAUUGAUCAGUUGUAUUUUGGCGCUCAGAGUGGCCCGUGUCCAAUGGCCUUUUGUGACAAAGAGCCCCCAUGCCGCAGUUUGGACACCAAUGGUGACGUGUGUGUGUGUAGGGCUGAACGUGUAUUGGAAAACUGCCACUCGGUGGUAUACUUUAUCGGCAUGCACUUUAAGAAACAAAAGAUUUAUUGAUCCAAGUUAAUGUUAACAUCUGAUCUCAUACAGUUGACAUAGUUAAGUUCCAUCCCAAGUUGUUGCAUGACUUUGCUCAGUGCAAUGGUCUGGCCCAGUACUGCCAUAUCACUGGUUUUCCAAUAUGUUGUACAGCCUUGAUUGAGUGCAAGCGCGCAGCGACGGCAAGCGACCGCGCAAGCGAGACUUUUGUGCUUGUCUUGAAAGGUGAACGAGAAGCUGCACAAAACGCAGAGCCGGCGGAUGGGGGUCACGAGAGAUUGGCGAGCAAAGGAAGAAAUCACCCCAAGAAAAGCAGUCUCCAUGUGAAGAAGAGGAAGUAGCCCGAUGCAUGGCUGGCCAGAGGGCUCGCUCACGUGGCGUCGGAGGGACCGGAGCAGUUCCUCAAAUGAAGAUGAGUACCAUCUGCCGGUCACUGAGUACGUUGACAGAAGUGAACCGCAUGCAACGGAGUGCCGUCUUUCUUUUUGCAGUUGCGCGAGGCAGAGGAAGGGUGCAAACGUCGAAAACCGGCCCGGAGCGGACCCGAACCUUCUGCAGACCUUAGCCCGUGACGAGCGGCCCACAUGAGGCGGGUGCAGAUGCGGCGAGGCCGGGUGGGCAAAGCAGCUAACAUUUAGGGAGAGUAUGACUUACUUUUUUUUUUCCUUUUGCACUUUCUUGCCCUCCCUCCACUUUCUCACUGGGUGUGCACACUGUCUGUCUGCAUGAUGCUUCUCUUUCUUCCAAGUGCUGUUGUUGUGCAAUAUUGUUAAAGUGUUUUUUUUAAUACAUAGAGUGAACUGUAAAGUUUGUACUGUAAUUAUGUGCCUCUGUACCUGAAUUAAAUUGUUAACUGAAAUCAAGUGGUCCAUUUUCAACAUUGGCCUGUGUAGUCUCGCUGUGCGUAAUGAGGUGAAUGUCAAGUAGACUGACACACAUAGAUGCAAAUGACAAGCGUGUCAAAGCGUAAAAAGUCGGCGUUGCAACCCAUGAAGUAUGUCUUUGGCAAACCUUUUUGCAACCCUGCUGUAAAAUGGCCACUGAAUUCAGAAUCUGGCUCUGUUUUGGUGCACACUUUUUGUACGAGUAAAAGCCUUUAUUUUAUUGAAGUCCAAGCCUGUUUUUCUUUUUGCGGUUAGAUUGUCAUGCUGGGUGUUUCUGUGAAUAAAGUUGACUUUGGUGUGUUUUGUUUCUGUGGGUGUUCUUUGUAAAU